UUUACUUUUCGAGACACCCCAUCGUCUAUCUACGACCCAGCCUGUCGUAGGUGGGCACUAUUCUUCGCUAGACAACUCAGACCUUUGGAGGGUGAUUUUGGUGGGUGUGUUGUUUGCCCACUGCCCAUCCCUCUCCGCUGCCAGACGACUCACAAACCCCGCCACCCCUGCCGAUCUUAGCAGGGCGAAUGAAGAGUGCCAGCCGCCGAGGAUAGCUGCGUGGAGGAGUUGCGGAUCAGCAGUCUUCACCAUUGCCAGAUAAACCUGACCCGAAGUUACAAGCUCUCACCGAGGACUAUCAGGAGUGGGUAGAGGGAAAGGACAGUGACGUCAAGGAUAACGGUGUGGUUGCUGACACUGGUUGCGUCUAUCUUCGUCUUCUUGACAAUCCUGGCAAAACAGUUUAGAACGACGCCUUUUCUGAAGUCAAGCAACACGGUGACUGUGGAUGGCGGUGAUGUGAAGCUAACCUUUGGUGACGUGCAUGAUGGAGCACCGACCACUCCCUUGAAGCACAAUAAUGGCUUUACUGGGGCUAUACCGAGGUCAGCCCUUUGGACUUGGUCUACUCUGCUUG